AAGCCUUACAGUUACUAAUCUAGAAGCAUUAGGCAAGAGUGUCUGAGAACGAUGGUAUGAUCUGCAAUACUGUCUUUUUUUAUUACUGAUUUAUUACUGACUAGCUAUUUCUUUCUUUGUUGUUAUUCAACAAGAGAGAACUCCCAUUAAUGGGAAUCAAAAGGAAACCCUGAAAUCAUUUUUUAAGGAUGGAAUGACACGAGUUGGUUCAGAAUUAUUACCAAGAGCUGCAUCAGCUACUGGUUUGGACACCAGUGUCAUAGAAAUAAGAACUGGAUUGGUAAUUACAAAAGAUCACAAAUGACUAAUGCUUCAUCUGAGCCCAGGACGAAGUUCACAUUAGAGAGCUGUCGCCUUACAAUCUUUUUUGUAGGGACAUAUUCAAAAACAAAGGCACAAUGAAUGAUAUUAAGGGCAGGUGGGCCACAUUGGGGGAAGAUGCAAAGCAAAAAUACAUUCAAGAGGCAGCAGCACUGAGGGCACAUGGGCAGGCACCGGACCUAAGCCCUGAGAUGAGGGAUGCCCAAAUUAAAAUGCACUUUAAGAAGCUGAAGUUAGAGCUUUGGAAACAGGAUUCUUUUUGCUAAGCAUUAGUGGUAUUCUUAAAGUAUUAGAUGGAAAGAUGAUCAACAGCAAUUGUGGUGUGAGCAGAACAUUGUGUUAGACAACUGGAUUGUUUAUCUCUAGUUUUUAUCAUAAUUUCAAAUGAGUUCGUUACAAAAAAAUAUUCCAGCUGAUUUUUGUUUACAAGGCUAUCAACAUCAAAUAUUCUCACAUUGAAGAAAUUGUCAAAGACUCAUACAACCAUCUCAAACUGGAAGCAGCUGAAGAACAAAGUGGUCAUGAGAUUUCUUAAAUUAAAUUUGAGUUUUCCUAAAGCCGCUUUCUGAAAUGGAACCCAGGAAAACCUGCUUUUAUCUUAUGAUUGAUUAUCACCAAGAUCUGAGAUGAAUUGAUGUGCAAUACCCACAUAUUCCUUUGGCAACAGUUAAAAAUGAACAAGCUGCCUUUGAGAUGUUGCU